rnacentral:tRNA from 1 species
GACCGGUUAGACGAAUUGGCAAGUCACGGCGCUUUCACCGCCGAGGUUGCGGGUUCGAAUCCCGCACCGGUCGCCA